rnacentral:rRNA from 1 species
UGCGUAGGCGGAAGAUUAAGUCAGUAGUGAAAUCCUGCAGCUCAACUGUAGAACUGUUAUUGAUACUGAUCUUCUUGAAUACAGUUGAGGUAGGCGGAAUAUGUAAUGUAGCGGUGAAAUGCUUAGAUAUUACAUAGAACACCGAUUGCGAAGGCAGCUUACUAAACUGUGAUUGACGCCGAGGCACGAAAGCGUGGGGAGCGAACAGGAUUAGAUACCCUGGUAGUCC